GCGGACGUGAUGAAAUUGGUAGACAUGCCGGUCUUAGAAGCCGGUGAGGUAACUCGUGUCGGUUCAAGUCCGACCGUCCGCACCA
rnacentral:tRNA from 1 species